rnacentral:rRNA from 1 species
UACGUAGGCAGCAAGCGUUGUUCGGAGUUGCUGGGCGUAAAGGGUGUGUAGGCGGUCUUCUAAGUUUGGUGUGAAAUCUCCCGGCUCAACUGGGAGGGUGCGCCGAAAACUGGGAGGCUAGAGUACUGGAUGGGAGAGUGGAAUUCCUGGUGUAGCGGUGAAAUGCGUAGAUAUCAGGAGGAACACCUGUGGUGUAGACGGCUCUCUGGACAGUAACUGACGCUGAGACACGAAAGCGUGGGUAGCAAACAGG